rnacentral:rRNA from 8 species
UACCUGGUUGAUCCUGCCAGUAGUCAUAUG